AUGGGUGUAGCUCAGUGGCAGAGCACAUGCUCAGCAUGCAUGAGGUUCUGGAUUCAGUCCCCAGUACCUCUG
rnacentral:tRNA from 1 species